UGGGGAAUAUUGGGCAAUGGGCGCAAGCCUGACCCAGCAACGCCGCGUGAGGGAAGAAGGUCUUCGGAUUGUAAACCUCUGUCCUCAGAGACGAAAGAAAUGACGGUACCUGAGGAGGAAGCUCCGGCUAACUACGUGCCAGCAGCCGCGGUAAUACGUAGGGAGCGAGCGUUGUCCGGAAUUACUGGGCGUAAAGGGAGCGUAGGCUGCUCUCUAAGUCAGGUGUGAAAUACCCGUGCUUAACAUGGGGGGUGCAUCUGAUACUGGAGGGCUUGAGUGUAGGAGAGGCAAGUGGAAUUCCUAGUGUAGCGGUGAAAUGCGUAGAUAUUAGGAGGAACACCGGUGGCGAAGGCGGCUUGCUGGACUAUAACUGACGCUGAGGCUCGAAAGCGUGGGGAGCAAACA
rnacentral:rRNA from 1 species